CACAGUAACAAACGAAAAAGGAAUAUAUACACGCAUAAUCAUCACAAAGGACCCACAUCAUCAUAGCCAUUCUCUUGUACACAUACUCCUUCAUUAAUGAGAGCACAGGGUGGAUUUUUUAUUUUUUAUUUUUUUGGGGGGGAGUGGUUGCCUCACUUCAUCAUCUGAAGGAACACUCCAUUUCUUAGAAUUGGUACGUAAAACACCACUCAACCUUACCACAAAAUGCAUGACCCUCACCUCAAUUUUUCCAUGGUUUCUUAGGAGGGGGUAGACGCACACAAAGAGUAACAUACAUACACGCACAAACCAGUGAAAGGAAGGGGCCGGAUUUUCCAUUUUUAGGGAGAUAUUGGAAUAGAGAGGAAGAGAGAUCGGAGAAGACAAAUCGAGAGAGUGUUAGGUAGAGAAAAGAGAUGUGAGGGAGAUAGCAAAAAGGGGGAAGUAAUCGAAAAUGGGCAAACUCGGCCAGAAAACGUUGGGACUCGCCAGAAUCCAUCUUGAGUCAUCAUUUUUUUUGCCACCGCCUGAGCUCACAGGAUCGCAGGCUACACAGAUUUUGUUCUUAUGUUGACUGGGUUUUGAGUUAAUCUAUUCUCGUGGUUCAUUUUGGAUAUAGGAUUUCGGGGUCUUCAUGAUUAAGUGGUCAAUAUUCGUGGAUUGGAACUCUGUUCAUCUCAAUCCGUCCAUCAUUGUCAAUAUCGAAGUCGAAAUUCAAUUUGGAGAUUCGUGUUGAGGUUCCGGUUUGAGGAUUUUGAUUUCGAAUUUCUUUAUUAUCAACAAGGACAUGUUUCAUUGAGAUUUUGAGACGUUAUUGGAUAAUUGAAGAAUGUGCUAAUCAUGUGGUUAAAAAUAGAUUUGGGGUGGAAUCAAAAGUUGAUAAAAGUUGUGUAGUUAAAUUUUGGUCGGUUGUCGUUUUAUUCAAUUCGGGAUAUACAUGAAUGUGAUCAAGCUCAGCUAGGUAAACAUAGGUCGGGUAGGCGAAUUUAGGGAUUGUGGAUUGAUGGAAUACUUGAGUUGUGUGAUUGAAUGGUUUUUGACUAUAUUGCUUUGGAAUCACUUGUAUCAUUUGGUUGGGGAAUGUCCCGAAGUACUUGUAUUAUUUUAUCCGGGGAAUGCCCCGGGGUAUUUUUGUAUCCGAAGGAUGUUCGUGAUGAAGGCCCAAGGCAGAGGGUAAAACGUCGGAGCAUAGUUUAGUAUAAGAUUUAUAUUUUUUGGAUUUUUUUACUUUGGACUGUAUAAUUCGACUGAACAUUAUAUUUUGGAUUAUGAUUUGGUUUAUGCUUGUUUGCUUGA